rnacentral:lncRNA from 1 species
CUCGCGCGGCGCGGCCGCUGCGACUUCCUGGAGUUCUGCCUGCCGGGGGCGCGGGCGGGUGUGUGAGAGAGAAGGCGAAGGGAGCCGCGGGGUGGGAGAGGAGGGAGUCCCGGCGGGAGGGCGGGGGAGAGGCUGGCGGGAGGGGGGCUCCACGGAGCUCCAGCCAGGGCCGCGGUUCGCCUGCACGUCACGGCUACUCAAACCCAAGCACGUCCCGAAAGCGGUAUUUUCUGCGUCUGGGAGGUUUUUGCAUCCUCAGUUCCCACCGCUGGGGCUGGCGGCGACCAACUGUAAGAGAAACUCACUGGGAGGCGAGGCAGGGGGGUGCGGAGGAUGGGAAGGCGACUCUGAAGGGUGGGAAGUGAAUGCUGGACUUGAUCGUCUUUCUCUUUCUUUCAGCGCAGACCUGUCGCAGCCAGAGAGCUGUCAUUUCAGUACCGGGAUUCAGAAUUGAUCCAGUCCGCAGCGGAGGGGGCACAUCCCAGCUACCGAGCUGCUGAGUGUCUCUGGCUGGAACAAUAGUAUUUUUUUCUCUGCGAGGCUGCAAUUAACAUCUUAUUUGUUCUGGCUCCAUACAGGCUUUGUCAGGAUCGCGGUGCGGCGACCGACGUUGGGCUCUUGCAUUGCUUUGUGCUUGGCAAUGGAAUCAUGGUUUCGGGAUAGUCAUUUUGCCUCCUGGACAGUUGGCUGACGAAGUGUCUGAUAAACCAGCUUCAGAUACAUGCUACAAAAGGUCAUUCGCCUCCUGAUUAUGUUUCUACUUGUAAACGCAGUUGGUGGUUUGCAAAACAAGUGCUAAAAUAGUGCAGUGAUGUGGUGGGAGGAAACCAUAAUGGGUAAUUCAUAUAAAGUGCUGGAAUCUUCGUAAGGGUGAGUUUCUCGAGCGGCAGGUGAAGUUGAAUAAAGCAAUUUUCCAUCAUUUGUUCCCCUCACUCUUGCAUUUUUUUCCUCCGCUUGUUUCUCUCCCCUGGGGCGAUUAUGGAUAGCCAAGAACACCAUUUUAAAAGAGAUUGAUAGUGAAAACAGGAAGUUUAUGGUCUGUUAUCCACUGGAGUUGUUUGAAAUAUUAAAAUUGGUCCUUUACUUCUUAAUGCAUAUUAAUAGAGUGACCCUCUUCAAGGCUUUCCCGUCUUAAACGAAUGCCUGGGAUAAACACUGU